AAGCAUUGGUCAAUAGAUAUUGUGAAACUUUUAGUGAGUUCAGACUUCAAAGAUCUGAUCCAGUCACUUCUCUUCUCAAGAAAGGUCUUUUCCAAAGUAUAUUCCAGAAGCCUUUAUCAACAUCAGUCUCUCUCCUUCGCCGACAUCAACAGCACCCAUCAACAUCCCCAUCACUCAUAACUUGCUUCAGUUCUAUCUCAAAAACCGAAAUCAGUAACAAUAGAGAAAUGAACAAUAAUUUGGUCUUCUAUGUGUGAAAGGUUAUGUGAAAUUUGGACAUAACAGAGAAGACAAUGGAGUAGUGCAUCAUGAAUGGGCCUCCGUGGCUCAGUGAGUUCAUUAGCUUUUGAAUGACCAUUCGAUUAGCUUUGGAAACAGUUGAAGAAGGCAGAGGACCUUGGUUUAUUUAAACAGAGCCAUAGACCUCGGUGAGAAUAACAGUCAUAUACCAUAGGAUGAGAAAGGAAGAUUUACAAGCAGCAGUAGAUGGAAGGUCAGAAAAAUUGAAGAAGAGCUGUUAGUGGUAGUAGCAAAGAUCAUAUUGUCAGUAUUGGCGGGUGGGUUUCUGCUGGUGUCCUCACAUCUCUAUGAGCAACUGAUAUUGAGGCGUAAAGGGCUAAGAUCAAAGCUCCAAAAGCAAGAAAUUAGAGGGCGUCCUCCAUUCCUCUUGGGGAAUAUCCUUGCAUAACGCCUUCAAAGCAAGGACCACUCAAUAGCAACAAAGACUACAGAUCCUUGAAAGCCUCUGCAUGAUGAUCGUCAUGUACCUUCUGUUUGUCACCAAUGAUCUUCAAAAAUCUUCCCCCACAGAGGAAUGAAGAAGUGAAUAUGGUACGUUUCUAUACUAUCAUGCAUUAGUUCAUACAUUAUGCCAAAGACGAUUAUUUCAACAUGAAAAGAUGAUUUAUUAAUUGUCGGGUGAUUAUUAUGGAUUAUUUAUUACGUUGUAUUGUUUUAGUUUCUGUAAAGUUUCUAAUCAUAUACUUGGAUUUUGUAAUUGUGCAUAUGAGUUCAGAAAAGUAUUCCAGUACUGAAGUAGAUUUUGAGACCUUUCAGCUCUUGCUCAAGCAUGAAAAACUUUCGUGCAUCAGCCCAGGUGAACUAAUAAAAUUACAUUCACCUCAUACAUCAUAUAACCUACAUAUUUCUUUGGUUUGUUUCUUUUCAAAAUUUAAAUGCUCUUGGUCCUGUCUGUAUUGGCCUUUUCCACAAAAAAGGGGAAUCCUUUGUUACAAUGGAAGGGUCGUUAUAUGCAAUUUAUUGUUUUUUUGGGUUUGAUUCGAUGGCUCUCUGUCUUUGCUUUGUUUCACAUGUCAGUAUGUCACACAGUUCCACUUGUCUCGGGGCUGUGGAGGCUUUACAUUUUUUUUUUCCCGAAGGAGCUCUACUUUGAAUAUGCAGAAACCUUCAUCCAACUGCAUGAUUUUCUGAAUGGAUUGGAGACAUUCGAGCACGGUGUUGUGAAAUUUUAAUUAAAACUCGCAAGCGCACGAAUCGUCGUUAGUAUAGUGUGCAAG